GAUGAACGCUAGCUUCAGGCUUAACACAUGCAAGUCGAGGGGCAUCAAGAAGAAAGCUUGCUUUCUUUGCUGGCGACCGGCGCACGGGUGAGUAACACGUAUCCAACCUGCCCUUUACUCGGGGAUAGCCUUUCGAAAGAAAGAUUAAUACCCGAUGGUAUAAUCAUUCCGCAUGGAUUGAUUAUUAAAGGAUUCCCGUAAAGGAUGGGGAUGCGUUCCAUUAUGUUGUUGGUGAGGUAACAGCUCACUAAGCCUUCGAUGGAUAGGGGUUCUGACAGGAAGGUCCCCCACAUUGGAACUGACACACGGUCCAAACUCCUACGGGAGGCAGCAGUGAGGAAUAUUGGUCAAUGGGCGCGAGCCUGAACCAGCCAAGUAGCGUGAAGGAUGACUGCCCUAUGGGUUGUAAACUUCUUUUAUAUUAGAAUAAAGUGCAGUAUGUAUACUGUUUUGUAUGUAUAAUAUGAAUAAUGAUCGGCUAACUCCGUGCCAGCAACCGCGGUAAUACGGAGGAUCCGAGCGUUAUCCGGAUUUAUUGGGUUUAAAGGGAGCGUAUGUGGACUGGUAAGUCAGUUGUGAAAGUUUGCGGCUCAACCGUAAAAUUGCAGUUGAUACUGUCAGUCUUGAGUACAGUAGAGGUGGGCGGAAUUCGUGGUGUAGCGGUGAAAUGCUUAGAUAUCACGAAGAACUCCGAUUGCGAAGGCAGCUCACUGGACUGCAACUGACACUGAUGCUCGAAAGUGUGGGUAUCAAACAGGAUUAGAUACCCUGGUAGUCCACACAGUAAACGAUGAAUACUCGCUGUUUGCGAUAUACAGUAAGCGGCCAAGCGAAAGCAUUAAGUAUUCCACCUGGGGAGUACGCCGGCAACGGUGAAACUCAAAGGAAUUGACGGGGGCCCGCACAAGCGGAGGAACAUGUGGUUUAAUUCGAUGAUACGCGAGGAACCUUACCCGGGCUUAAAUUGCAGUGGAAUGAUGUGGAAACAUGUCAGUGAGCAAUCACCGCUGUGAAGGUGCUGCAUGGUUGUCGUCAGCUCGUGCCGUGAGGUGUCGGCUUAAGUGCCAUAACGAGCGCAACCCUUAUCUUCAGUUACUAACAGGUCAUGCUGAGGACUCUGGAGAGACUGCCGUCGUAAGAUGUGAGGAAGGUGGAGAUGACGUCAAAUCAGCACGGCCCUUACGUCCGGGGCUACACACGUGUUACAAUGGGGGGUACAGAAGGCAGCUACCUGGUGACAGGAUGCUAAUCCCAAAAGCCUCUCUCAGUUCGGAUCGAAGUCUGCAACCCGACUUCGUGAAGCUGGAUUCGCUAGUAAUCGCGCAUCAGCCACGGCGCGGUGAAUACGUUCCCGGGCCU
rnacentral:rRNA from 1 species